AUUGCACGCUAGCGGGAUGCUUUACCCAUGCACGUCGAACGGAGUGGCGGACGGGUGAGUAAUAUAUCGGAACGUUCCCAGUAGCGGGGGAUAACUACUCGACAGAGUGGCUAAUACCGCAUACUAUUUGAGCGGCCGUUAUCUGCUUAGCUAGGUGUUUGGGUAAAGGCUCACCAAGGCAACGAUCCGUACCUGGUUUGAGAGGACGACCAGCCACAAUGGGACUGAGACACGGCCCAGACGCGUACGGGAGGCAGCAGUGGGGAAUUUUGGACAAUGGGGGAAACCCUGAUCCAGCCAUCCCGCGUGUAGGAUGAAGGCCUUCGGGUUGUAAAGUACUUUUGGCAGAGAAGCGGUAUCUGCAGAAUAAGCACCGGCUAACUACGUGCCAGCAGCCGCGGUAAUUC
rnacentral:rRNA from 1 species